rnacentral:rRNA from 1 species
UACGGAGGGGGGCUAGCGUUGUUCGGAAUUACUGGGCGUAAAGCGCACGUAGGCGGCUUUGUAAGUUAGAGGUGAAAGCCUGGAGCUCAACUCCAGAAUUGCCUUUAAGACUGCAUCGCUUGAAUCAUGGAGAGGCGGGUGGAAUUCCGAGUGUAGAGGUGAAAUUCGUAGAUAUUCGGAAGAACACCAGUGGCGAAGGCGGCCCGCUGGACAUGUAUUGACGCUGAGGUGCGAAAGCGUGGGGAGCAAACAGG